UACGUAGGUGACAAGCGUUGUCCGGAUUUACUGGGCGUAAAGAGCGCGCAGGCGGUCGUUCAAGUCGAGUGUGAAAGCCCCCCGGCUCAACUGGGGAGGGUCACUCGAUACUGAUCGACUCGAAGGCAGGAGAGGGAAGUGGAAUUCCCGGUGUAGUGGUGAAAAUGCGUAGAUAUCGGGAGGAACACCAGUGGGCGAAGG
rnacentral:rRNA from 1 species